UACAGAGGGGGCAAGCGUCGUUCGGAAUUACUGGGCGUAAAGGGCGCGUAGGCGGCCUGCUAAGUCGAACGUGAAAUCCCUGGGCUCAACCCAGGAACUGCGUCCGAUACUGGUUGGCUUGAAUCCGGGAGAGGGAUGUGGAAUUCCAGGUGUAGCGGUGAAAUGCGUAGAUAUCUGGAGGAACACCGGUGGCGAAGGCGACAUCCUGGACCGGCAUUGACGCUGAGGCGCGAAAGCCAGGGGAGCAAACGGG
rnacentral:rRNA from 1 species